AACGAACGCUGGCGGCAGGCUUAACACAUGCAAGUCGAACGCCCCGCAAGGGGAGUGGCAGACGGGUGAGUAACGCGUGGGAAUCUACCCAGAUCUACGGAACAACAGUUGGAAACGACUGCUAAUACCGUAUACGCCCUACGGGGGAAAGAUUUAUCGGAUUUGGAUGAGCCCGCGUUGGAUUAGCUAGUUGGUGGGGUAAUGGCCUACCAAGGCGACGAUCCAUAGCUGGUCUGAGAGGAUGAUCAGCCACACUGGGACUGAGACACGGCCCAGACUCCUACGGGAGGCAGCAGUGGGGAAUAUUGGACAAUGGGCGCAAGCCUGAUCCAGCCAUGCCGCGUGAGUGAUGAAGGCCUUAGGGUUGUAAAGCUCUUUCACCGAUGAAGAUAAUGACGGUAGUCGGAGAAGAAGCCCCGGCUAACUUCGUGCCAGCCGCCGCGGUAACAC
rnacentral:rRNA from 1 species